rnacentral:misc_RNA from 1 species
UCCCCAACUGCUUCACCUCCCCUUGCAUCUUCACCCAGAAUAAGUGAGCUUCAUGAGCUUCCUAGACCACCAGGGAAUUUAGCCUCAAAACCAGCAAAAUCAUCCAUAAUAGUUGGUCACUCUGCUCCAUUGGUCAGAAAUCUAGAGCAUUCUGGAGCAAGCAAGAUUCCUUCUACAAUGACAAAUUAUGCGUCACCUUUGCCAAUUCCACCUUUUGUUGUUCCUCGAAGUUUCUCAAUUCCUUCCAGCAGCCAGAGAGCAAUGACAAUACAUGUUUCUAAAUCUGUGGAGUCUCUGCAUGUCCCAGAAAAGGCUGA